rnacentral:miRNA from 1 species
GACAAUGAUGAGAAGACCUGAGGA